rnacentral:rRNA from 1 species
GAUGAACGCUGGCGGCGUGCCUAAUACAUGCAAGUCGAGCGAACAGACGAGGAGCUUGCUCCUCUGACGUUAGCGGCGGACGGGUGAGUAACACGUGGAUAACCUACCUAUAAGACUGGGAUAACUUCGGGAAACCGGAGCUAAUACCGGAUAAUAUAUUGAACCGCAUGGUUCAAUAGUGAAAGACGGUUUUGCUGUCACUUAUAGAUGGAUCCGCGCUGCAUUAGCUAGUUGGUAAGGUAACGGCUUACCAAGGCAACGAUGCAUAGCCGACCUGAGAGGCGGACAGGACCCAGUGGAAAUGAGACACGACCGAGACACAGACGGAAGGCAGCAGUCGGGAGUCUUGUGCAAGGGGCGAAAGCCUGAAGUAUGAACGAAGGGGGAGUAAUGAAGGUGUAAGGAUAGGAAAACUCUUUUAUUAGAGAAGAACAGAAGUGCAAGUAACUGUGCACACCUGGACGGUGCCUAAUCAGAAAGCCACGGCUAGCUAGAUG